rnacentral:rRNA from 1 species
GACGAACGCUGGCGGCGUGCUUAACACAUGCAAGUCGAACGGAAAGGCCCUGCUUUUGUGGGGUGCUCGAGUGGCGAACGGGUGAGUAACACGUGAGUAACCUGCCCUUGACUUUGGGAUAACUUCAGGAAACUGGGGCUCAUACCGGAUAGGAGCUCCUGCUGCAUGGUGUGGGUUGGAAAGUUUCGGCGGUUGGGGAUGGACUCGCGGCUUAUCAGCUUGGUGGUGGGGUAGUGGCGUACCAAGGCUUUGACGGGUAGCCGGCCUGAGAGGGGGACCGGCCACAUUGGGACUGAGAGACGGAGCAGACUGCUACGGGAGGCAGCGGGGGGGAAUAUUGCACAAUGGGCGGGAGCCUGAUGCGGCAACGCCGCGUGCGGGAUGACGGGUUUCGGGUGGUAAACCACUGUCGCCGGAGACGAAGAGGGAGUGACGGUAAUUGGUAAGAAAGCACCGGCUAACUACGUG